CGCAGAACAAACCCCAAAGAGGGUUGAACACCUGAGGUCUCAUCAGUGCAAUUAGAAAUGACUUUUCUCAGCUGAGGGGGCAUCUAUCUGUUUCUGAGCCAGAAACUACCAUGGGCAAGUGCCGGGUCCAGGACAAACAGGGGAGGUGUCAGCUUUGUGCUUAGCACUGCCCUGGUCAGGCUUCCGCUGCUGGACCCUCACCAGGGUCCUACCAUGCUGGACUCAUGUGCUAAGCCUCAAUUGGUCUGGAUAGGGUCCAGCACUGUCUGGCUUUGGCCUCUCUGGCCCACUUCCUGGGCAGAGGCCCUAUCUGUGACCCUUUAAAGAAGUGGGACUUCCUGGGUCAGCUGCCCAUGGCUGCUUGGACCAGUGCUGAUUCCCCGUUCCCCAAGGGCAUAAGCACACCCCUUCUCAGAGCUCCACCUUGUGGGCACUGUGGUUGACUGACUGUUUACCUCUCCAGGGACACGUGACAGAGAAGCACCUAACACACAGGCUUUGCAAAGGUUUCUAACACAAUUACUCUUCACUUUAGACAGCACACGAGAGAUACAGAAUCCAGUGCCUGAGAUGCACCCAGCAAACAAAAGCCAGAAGUGAACACCUAAAAAUAACAUUUGUUUGGUCUCCCUUGGCCCUGAGCAACAGUUCCCUUGAACUGCUUUAAGUAGCAACAUCUACCAGUAUAUGACUUCUAGUCCAGAAAUAUAUCCAUGCAGUGGCUGAUCUGUCCAGUUACUGGUGCACAAUGGCUAUGAGGAUUCAACCCCAGACGUAGCUGCAUCCCAGUGGUGAGGGAAAUGAUCCU